GAUACAAAUAUCAGAACUAUGUGAAUCGAAUUUUUUAAGUAUGAGUUAAUAUUAUUAAAAAAUGGCGGAUCCGGGAGAUAUUUUCGGUAGUGGGGCAGAAAGCGACGAAGAGAGUCACGGAUCCCCAGCAAGUGGAAAUGGAAGUCAUCAUUCAGAGAGUCCAGCUGGAAGUCCUGCUGGGUCAGGGAGUCCAGCCCACAGUGGGUCUCCUCCAAACAGCCCAGGGGCAGGGUCUGGAUCACCCACCAGUCAUCACUCUGGAUCUCCAGAAAGGUCCCAGUCAGCUACUCCAGUUGGAUCUCCCGCAUCUCACAGGUCAGGGAGCCAAAGAAGUGGAUCUGGUUCACCGGCAAGGAGUGGGUCUGGAAGUCCUAGAAGUAGGUCUGGCAGUCCAGCAAGAAGCAGGUCCAGAAGCAGGUCACGAAGUGGAAGCCCAGCUCAGCAUUCAGGAAGUGACAGUGGGUCAGACAUUGGUAAAAAGAAGAAGAAGAAGAAAAAGGAAGGAUCAGGAUCAGAUUCAGAUAAUGAUGUCAAUGCUACAGUUGGUGAUUUAUUUGGAGAUGCCGAUGACAUUAGCUCAGAUGAGGAGGCCAAGACAAGGAAGUCUGAUGCUGAAGAUGAUGAAGGAGGAGGCUCUGAUAGGGAGAGACAGGCUCCUAUAAUUGAUGAUGAUGAAGAACAGGUAGAAGAGGAAGUGCCAGAAACAAGAAUUGAGGUUGAAAUUCCUCGCAUCAUGACAAACCUCGGAAAAAUUCUGCACUAUGUGAAACUGCCAAACUUUCUUAGCGUGGAAACAAGGCCUUAUGAUAAUCAGACCUAUGAAGAUGAAAUCGAUGAAGAUGAAGUGUUAGAUGAAGAAGGAAGAGCUCGGCUUAAAUUAAAGGUAGAAAACACAAUUCGCUGGAGAAAGAAAAACAACGAAGAUGGAACAGAAGCCACUGAUGAGCUUGGUAAACCCAUCAGAGAGAGCAACGCCCGUGUUGUCCGCUGGUCAGAUGGCAGCAUGUCUCUUCACCUGGGAAAUGAAAUCUUUGAUGUGCACACCAUGCCGAUACAGGGCGACUUCAACCACUUGUUUGUCAGACAGGGAACCGGUCUCCAAGGACAGAGCAUAUUCAAAACAAAACUAGCAUUCAGACCUCAUUCAACAGAAUCCGCUACGCACAGAAAGAUGACAUUGUCUUUAGCAGACAGAUCAACUAAAGCACAAAAAGUCAAGGUCCUUCCAAUCUCAGGUCGUGACCCUGAUGCUCAUAGAAGUGAAAUGAUUAAGAAAGAAGAAGAAAAAUUACGAGCCUCCAUUCGAAGGGAAAGCGGAGUGUCGCUGAAUGAUUUGAAGAAGGAGUACAAACAGAAACGGGCUGAUCGGUUGACGAUUUAUUCAUCUGACAGUGAUGACUCGUAUUCAGAUGGAGAGAAGUCUGGGCGACUGAUGAAGGCUAAGAGAGGUGGUAGUGAUGAGGAUUCUGAAGAAGAGAAAGGUCCAAAGAAGAAGGCGGCCAGGAUUGUGGAAAGUGACAGUGAAGAGGAAGGGGGAGGGGCAUCUCAAGAAGGGGGUGGGGAUCACAGUGAGGGAUCUAAUAAAGGCAGUGAUAUGGAAGAUGAUUGACAUUUUAUGAGACCAAGACUGUUGUUUAUGUUUCAUAUUGUUGUAAAUA
rnacentral:sRNA from 1 species